rfam:Yersinia ruckeri strain 37551 YRO1b0000025, whole genome shotgun sequence.
GAAAGACGCGCAUUUGUUAUCAUCAUCCCUGUCUACAGUGAUGUUAUUUGGCCACAUUGAUUGUGGCCUUUU